UGGGGAAUUUUGGACAAUGGGGGAAACCCUGAUCCAGCCAUCCCGCGUGUGCGAUGAAGGCCUUCGGGUUGUAAAGCACUUUUGGCAGGAAAGAAACGUCGCGGGUUAAUACCCCGCGAAACUGACGGUACCUGCAGAAUAAGCACCGGCUAACUACGUGCCAGCAGCCGCGGUAAUACGUAGGGUGCAGGCGUUAAUCGGGAUUACUGGGCGUAAAGCGUGCGCAGGCGGUUCGGAAAGAAAGAUGUGAAAUCCCAGAGCUUAACUUUGGAACUGCAUUUUUAACUACCGGGCUAGAGUGUGUCAGAGGGAGGUGGAAUUCCGCGUGUAGCAGUGAAAUGCGUAGAUAUGCGGAGGAACACCGAUGGCGAAGGCAGCCUCCUGGGAUAACACUGACGCUCAUGCACGAAAGCGUGGGGGAGCAAACAGGAUUAGAUACCCUGGUAGUCCACGCCCUAAACGAUGUCAACUAGCUGUUGGGGCCUUCGGGCCUUGGUAGCGCAGCUAACGCGUGAAGUUGACCGCCUGGGGAGUACGGUCGCAAGAUUAAAACUCAAAGGAAUUGG
rnacentral:rRNA from 1 species